AUUGAACGCUGGCGGCAUGCUUUACACAUGCAAGUCGAACGGUAACAGGCCGCAAGGUGCUGACGAGUGGCGAACGGGUGAGUAAUGCUACCACAUGUGCCACGUAGUUGGGGAUAUGUACUCGCAAGAGUAGACAAUACCGCAUACGAUCUAUGGUUGAAAGCGGGGGAGCGUAAGGCUUAGCGACGUUGGUGCGGCCCGUGUUAGAUUAGGUAGUUGGUGGGGUAAAGGCUCACCAAGGCAACGAUUACUAGCUGGUCUGAGAGGACGAGCAGCCACACUGGAACUGAGACACGGCCCAGACUCCUACGGGAGGCAGCAGUGGGGAAUUUUGGACAAUGGGCGCAAGCCUGACCCAGCAAUGCCGCGUGCAGGAAGAGGGCCUUCGGAUUGUAAACUGCUGUUGUACGGAACGAAACGGCGCUGAUUAAUACCCGGGGAUAAUGACGGUACCGAAAGAAUAAGCACCGGCUAACUACGUG
rnacentral:rRNA from 1 species